rnacentral:tRNA from 1 species
GCGGUGGUAGCUCAGUUGGUAGAGCGUCAGCCUUCCAAGCUGAAUGUCGCGAGUUCGAGUCUCGUCCGCCGCU